CGGAUCGCAGGCUGCAACCCGCCCUGCGUGAAGUUGGAAUCGCUAGUAAUCGCGGAUCAGCAUGCCGCGGUGAAUACGUUCCCGGGCCUUGUACACACCGCCCGUCACACCAUGAGAGUCGGGAACACCCGAAGUCCGUAGCCUAACCGCAAGGGGGCGCGGCCGAAGGUGGGUUCGAUAAUUGGGGUGAAGUCGUAACAAGGUAAC
rnacentral:rRNA from 1 species